rnacentral:misc_RNA from 1 species
CCGGGUCGGCGACUGCCCGAAACCACACCGUGCACCUGCAUCUCGUGUACAGUCGACGUCUCUGGAGAGGCUUAGCAUGCUCGCUGGGGGAGCCUGCGGGUCCGGGGUUCGUCCCCGGGCCGGCCGAUCGGGGGACGUCGCCCUUUUAGAACCGCGCUGAGAAAGAACUUCGGAAGGUACCUCGGCGGCCUUCGGGCCCCGCAGAAAACCUAGUCA